rnacentral:lncRNA from 1 species
ACAUAAAAAAAUCUUCUUACUUACUAUGAAACUCAUUUGUUCACAUGUCCAAAUACUCUCUGUUUUAAUUCUUUUGAUCUGUUCUACUACACUCAAGCUUCUCUCCUAUGUUUUCAGUCCACAAGCUACUCAAAGACAUUACCCUACAAGCCUACAAGGUAACGCUUCUUGGUCUGAUUCUUUUGAUUACUUUUGCUUAAACUACAAUGUUUCCGACAUCUUGCAUAUCUUUUUUAUGAAGUUUUAAGAAAAAAAUUUUGAGAUAGGUCACAAAAUACUGAUAAGAUGGGGAUUAAAAUUGUUGUUGUUUUCAAUAAUUUGCAUGUGAUGGUAAAGAAGUUAAUAAAAUGAAAUCUGAAACUGAGGCUCUGUUUUUUGAAGUUUUAGAUCUCUCGUCGUUCGUUGAUUUGGUAGAUUACUCAUAAAAUUUUGUUUUGAAAAUUAAGUAAAGUAAACAAUCAUUGAUUUUAUUUGUCGUGUUCAAUAUUCGUUUUUGUCAUACUCUGUCUCGUUCUAAGAAAAGAAAAACAUGGGUUAAAAAGUAUCAUUCAAAACGAUUUUCUUAAAAUGUACAUAGAAAAAAAAUUAACAUUCUUUGUUCUGUUAUCUUAAUAUGCAUGUCUUAAAUGUGUUUACUUAGUUUCGGGAUAAAUGCUUUUGAACUUUUUGGUUAAGUACGGAACUUGCAUGAUGUUUCAGAAAUGGAUUGUAACGGAUCAUUAAUCUGAUUUUGCAGAUGUUUAUGAAGAACACAAAAUCAAAUGGAGUUAACGUAAAGGCUUAAAAAGGGAAAAUGAUCUGAUCCGUCACAUUCAUAUCCUUUGAUCUUUGAAGGUGCUAGACGGAGUAAUGAUGAUGGAGUCACGGAGGGAGAAUGUUACGGAACAGAGAAAUCUAAAUUUGAAGUUGCUAGACGGGGUAAUAAUGAUUUGUAUAGGGGAUAUGUGAUGAAUGCUUGUAAGAUGUGUGUAUGUGUAACGUAUGCUUGUAUAGAUGAGAUAAAUGUGUGGGAUGUGGAUGGUGCAUGUAGAUGAAUGUGUAGGAAGUGGAUGGUGUAGAUGAAUGUGUAGGAUGUGGAUGGUGAAGAUGAAUGUGUAGGAUGUAGAUGGUGUAUGUAAUGUGUAGGAUGUAUAUAGGAAGAUGGUGUAGCAAGUGGAUGGUGUAGUAGAUAAAAAGGUGUAGGAUGUGAUGGAUGAAUGUGUAGGAAGUGGAUGGUGUAGAUGAAUGUGUAGGAUGUAUAGAAAUGUGAAUAUGUGAUGAAUGUGUAAGAUGAAUUUAGUAUUGAAUUGUAGGAUAAGUGA